ensembl:snoRNA
UCUACCAGUGAUGAGGACUGGUAGAGGACGAGUCAUGGACAGUGCAUAAGGAGUGUCUGGAACCCCGAGGUCCAA